rnacentral:rRNA from 1 species
UAAACGCUGGCGGCGUGCUUAACACAUGCAAGUCGAACGAGAAAGUUUUAGCUUGCUAAAACGAGUAAAGUGGCGCACGGGUGAGUAACGCGUGGGUAAUUUACCCUUGAAUCUGGAAUAACGUUGCGAAAGCGACGCUAAUACCGGAUGACAUAUAUUUUUCUACGGAAUUAGAUAUUAAAGAGAGCCUCUACAUGUAAGCUUUCGUUUGAGGAUAAGCCCGCGUACCAUUAGCUUGUUGGUAGGGUAAUGGCCUACCAAGGCGACGAUGGUUAGCUGGUCUGAGAGGAUGAUCAGCCACACUGGAACUGACACACGGUCCAGACUCCUACGGGAGGCAGCAGUGAGGAAUUUUGCGCAAUGGGGGAAACCCUGACGCAGCAACGCCGCGUGAGUGAUGAAGGCCUUAGGGUCGUAAAGCUCUGUCAAGUGGGAAGAACAAGCUUAUUGUUAAUAGCAUUAGGCCCUGACGGUACCACUGGAGGAAGCACCGGCAAACUCC